rnacentral:rRNA from 1 species
CAGGGAAUCUUCGGCAAUGGACGGAAGUCUGACCGAGCAACGCCGCGUGAGUGAAGAAGGUUUUCGGAUCGUAAAGCUCUGUUGUAAGAGAAGAACGAGUGUGAGAGUGGAAAGUUCACACUGUGACGGUAUCUUACCAGAAAGGGACGGCUAACUACGUGCCAGCAGCCGCGGUAAUACGUAGGUCCCGAGCGUUGUCCGGAUUUAUUGGGCGUAAAGCGAGCGCAGGCGGUUAGAUAAGUCUGAAGUUAAAGGCUGUGGCUUAACCAUAGUACGCUUUGGAAACUGUUUAACUUGAGUGCAAGAGGGGAGAGUGGAAUUCCAUGUGUAGCGGUGAAAUGCGUAGAUAUAUGGAGGAACACCGGUGGCGAAAGCGGCUCUCUGGCUUGUAACUGACGCUGAGGCUCGAAAGCGUGGGGAGCAAACAGGAUUAGAUACCCUGGUAGUCCACGCCGUAAACGAUGAGUGCUAGGUGUUAGACCCUUUCCGGGGUUUAGUGCCGCAGCUAACGCAUUAAGCACUCCGCCUGGGGAGUACGACCGCAAGGUUG